rnacentral:lncRNA from 1 species
UGGUGGGUGUCAGGGUCAGUCCAGGUGAAAGUGAACAGAGGCUGGGAUGAAGGGUGCAAAGGAAUAGUAAAAUGGGGGAAUUGUAAGGGGAGUUUAUAGCCUUUAAAGACCAUGCUGUAGCAGGCAAGUGAUAACAGACUUUAAUCCCUUUAAGGCAACCUGUGGGAUGGGAUAUUGGCAUUGAGCAGGGUAAGAUCAGGGAAGCAGAUAAUUUAGUUAAAGCGUCUCGGCCUAAUAAGGGCCUAAUAAAGGCAGGUGGGGAUAACUAAAAAGGAGUGCUUAAAAGACUAUUGUGAGUUGAACAGUCCAAUUUUCAGUGGGGGUCCUUCACAGAUGGGACGCGGCUU